rnacentral:rRNA from 1 species
GUCCACGCCGUAAACGAUGUCUACUAGCCGUUAGGGUACUUGAUACCCUAGUGGCGCAGCUAACGCGAUAAGUAGACCGCCUGGGGAGUACGGCCGCAAGGUUAAAACUCAAAUGAAUUGACGGGGGCCCGCACAAGCGGUGGAGCAUGUGGUUUAAUUCGACGCAACGCGAAGAACCUUACCAGGCCUUGACAUCCUCGGAACUUUCUAGAGAUAGAUUGGUGCCGCAAGGAACCGAGAGACAGGUGCUGCAUGGCUGUCGU